AUUGAACGCUGGCGGCAGGCCUAACACAUGCAAGUCGAGCGGAUGAAGGGAGCUUGCUCCUGGAUUCAGCGGCGGACGGGUGAGUAAUGCCUAGGAAUCUGCCUGGUCGUGGGGGAUAACGUCCGGAAACGGGCGCUAAUACCGCAUACGUCCUGAGGGAGAAAGUGGGGGAUCUUCGGACCUCACGCUAUCAGAUGAGCCUAGGUCGGAUUAGCUAGUUGGUGGGGUAAAGGCCUACCAAGGCGACGAUCCGUAACUGGUCUGAGAGGAUGAUCAGUCACACUGGAACUGAGACACGGUCCAGACUCCUACGGGAGGCAGCAGUGGGGAAUAUUGGACAAUGGGCGAAAGCCUGAUCCAGCCAUGCCGCGUGUGUGAAGAAGGUCUUCGGAUGGUAAAGCACUUUAAGUUGGGAGGAAGGGCAGUAAGUUAAUACCUUGCUGUUUUGACGUUACCAACAGAAGAAGCACCGGCUAACUUCGUG
rnacentral:rRNA from 1 species